CUGCCGAAGGUGUCUGCCUCCACUACGAGCUGGGCUUGUGAAGAGACAGGCAGAGAGACAGACAGACGUUACUAAAAUAUCACGGAUAUGGCAGUUGAAGCUCUGAAAUGGCUCCUUGCGUGACCUUUAUGAGCGCAGGGGUCACUGGAGAUCAAUAACCUCUUUGUCGUCCUCCAAUCUCUCCUCAUCCAGACAUCCCUCACUCGCUGUGUGAACUCACCUGUAGAGGAUUACACAUGACCAGCAUCAUCUGGAUAUACCUGAGGAGAGAGAGAGAGAGAGAGAG